UAAAAAGAAGCAUUAUAGAUGCAUUUUGCUUACACCAAAACUAAGGCCUAGAGCCCUUUUUAU
rnacentral:tRNA from 1 species